UACGGAGGGGGCGAGCGUUAUUCGGAAUCAUUGGGCGUAAAGGGCGCGUAGGCGGCCCGGCAUGUCAGGGGUGAAAUCCCUCGGCUCAACCGAGGAAUUGCCUCUGAAACUGCCAGGCUUGAGUCCGGGAGAGGGUGGUGGAAUUCCCAGUGUAGCGGUGAUAUGCGUAGAUAUUGGGAGGAACACCAGUGGCGAAGGCGGCCACCUGGACCGGUACUGACGCUGAGGCGCGAAAGCGUGGGGAGCAAACAGG
rnacentral:misc_RNA from 1 species